UCAAAUACCAGUUCCCGUCCGAUCACCGAAGUUAAGCAACGUCGAAUGUGGUCAGUACUUAGAUGGAUGACAUCUAUGGAAUACCAGGUGCUGUAA